GGAGCCGAGUCCUCCAACGCCCCUGGACUUGGGGGAAGCCCUGCGGGGAGACAGGCCCCGAAGGAGGGGACUCCGGGUAGCCACAACUCUCCAACGUGGCGCUGCCCCUUGCGGGGCGGAGGGAGGGUUGCGGCCCCACAGGGUGCGCCCCCCAACUUUGUACACCUGCCUCUGAGAGAGGAGGCUGCAAACACCUAGCUUUGAAGACACGCGCAGAACUGGGUUCUUCCGGGCGCCCCUGCCACCGGCGAGCCGCCGCCCUCGGCGCGAGGGCUGCAGAGGAGCGUCGCCCGAGGGCAGUCGGCUGGUUUCACUUUCGUGGGUUCCCGCUGCUGCCUGGAAUCUGGCCCCAGGCUGAGUGCCCCGUUUGGGAGGACAGUGCUGCUCUUUGACUGCGAGCGCCCCUCUGGCUUGACAUCUCUAGCUGUCUCAGCCAUUGAUUGGAGGAUGGGAUGGCCUUUGAUCUGUCCUGUCUUCGUUAUCUCACGUGCGCUCUGUCUGCCGUGCACCUUUGGAUGUUCAGAUUUGCGCUGGUGGUCUUCCUGAUGCACCGUGAGCCGGUUUCUAAGCCCAAGACUCGGUCUUGACUCUACUUUUUCCAUCAAGGUUCCAGCACGGCCAUGGAUUUCUGGCGGUUCUCCUCGUUGUUUUCUGGGAAACCGUGGGGUGGUCAGCCUCCAAGAUGGGUGCCCAAUAGGCCUUCCCUCUUGAUAGUCAGAUCCUGGGCAGUUUUCUCCACUUUGCUGAGGACUGACCGGUACAGCAUUAAGACUGAUAGAGUAUUAUGGAAAUGAUGGGGUCUUGUUACUUUGGAGGAUAGAUCAUAGAAGGCAUUGCCCCUGUGCCUUGCUCCCUCUUGGAUCACUCGCUCUGCGGAAGGCAGUUGUCCUGUGCUAUGAACCCAGUUAAGGAGUCUCAUGAAGACGUCUUUGUGGUGAAGAACGGAGGCCUCCUGACAACAGCCAUCACCAAAUUACUAGCUCUGUCCACACCCCAUCUUGGAAUUGGAUCUUCCAGCCACCCAUCAAGGCUUCAGAUGACCACAGCUCUGGUGGACGUCUUGAUGGCAACCUCACCCUGAGCCAGAACUACCCAGGUUCAUCUUGUUAACUUUUGAAGAUGUGGAACAAAAAUGGUGUUAAAAUCACUGGAAACUUCACGGAAUGAUGGACGUUGGACACCAGAACUACAUAGACAAAGAUGAAUUCUUUGCUUACCUCUAGUGGUGCUGACUCUGGUCUGCAGAUGGGAAAUAAGGACUGUGUUGUAUGAAAAUAGAGGCCAGCUCCUUGUGGAAAGUCUUUACCUCUGUCCUUGGCUGAAGACCCAUCUACGGUAUGUGAAGCCAGGAAGA